CCGAGCGCGGCGGGGCGACAUGCGGGUGUCGGCGUUGAUCGCCGGGCCCCACGCGGCGAACGCUUGUGAACCAGGUCAGGUCCGGAAGGAAGCAGCCUUAAGCGAUGUCGUUUGGGCGCCGUGGGUAAGCCUGGCGGGAGCCGGCACCCGCAUGUCGCCUCGUCGUGCGUGG
rnacentral:SRP_RNA from 1 species